ensembl:snRNA U2 U2 spliceosomal RNA
AUCCCUUCUCGGCCUUUUGGCUAAGAUCAAGUGUAGUAUCUGUUCUUAUCAGUUUAAUAUCUGAUACGUCCCCUACCCGGGGACCAUAUAUUAAAUUGAUUUUUGGAGCAGGGAGAUGGAAUAGGGGCUUGCUCCGUCCACUCCACGCAUCGACCCGGUAUUGCAGUACCUCCGGGAACGGUGCACCCCCC